rnacentral:rRNA from 1 species
AUUGAACGCUGGCGGCAGGCCUAACACAUGCAAGUCGAACGAGUGGCGGACGGGUGAGUAAUGUCUGGGAAACUGCCUGAUGGAGGGGGAUAACUACUGGAAACGGUAGCUAAUACCGCAUACCAUCGGAUGUGCCCAGAUGGGAUUAGCUAGUAGGUGGGGUAACGGCUCACCUAGGCGACGAUCCCUAGCUGGUCUGAGAGGAUGACCAGCCAAACUGGGACUGGGACACGGUCCGAGCUCCUACGGGAGGCAGGAGGGGGGAAAUUUGGACAAUGGGCGGAAGCCUGAGUCAGCCAUGGCGGGUGGAUGAAGAAGGCCUUCGGGUUGUAAAGUACUUUCAGCGGGGAGGCGUUACCCGCAGAAGGAGCACCGGCUAACUCCGUGCCAGCAGCCGCGGGAAUUC